rnacentral:rRNA from 1 species
CAGCAGCCGCGGUAAUACGUAGGGUGCGAGCGUUACUCGGAUUUACUGGGCGUAAAGCGUGCGCAGGCGGCCCGUUAAGACAGGUGUGAAAUCCCUGGGCUCAACCUAGGAAUUGCGCUUGUGACUGGCGGGCUCGAGUACGGUAGAGGGGGGUGGAAUUCCUGGUGUAGCAGUGAAAUGCGUAGAGAUCAGGAGGAACACCGAUGGCGAAGGCAGCCCCCUGGGCCUGUACUGACGCUCAUGCACGAAAGCGUGGGGAGCAAACAGGAUUAGAUACCCUGGUAGUCCACGCCCUAAACGAUGGGUACUAGCCGUUUGGUGCGCGAUAGCGCGGAGUGGCGAAGCUAACGCGUGAAGUACCCCGCCUGGGGAGUACGGCCGCAAGGUGGAAACUUAAAGGAAUUGGGG